AGGCGAGGAGAAGAAACAAGGUAGUCAAGUGUCAGGGUAAUGGAAAAGAGGGGUGUGUGCACCUGUGUGCGUGAGCUGAGGUCAGAGAGCCAAAUCCAGCCUUGGAUAAUCCACAGUCAUCUCUGAACUCUGAGACCCUGAGCAGCAGGAAGAUGGUGAAUAAAUGCAAGCCCCAGCUAUACAAUUACAACCUAGCCUGAGAGGAGGAAGAGGCCAGGAGGUGCAACUUCAGGUCCCAGGCGCCUCGCAACCAGCUUGCUCAUCUCAGGGUCCGCGAGACUGGGAUUUACACAAGCAGCACAGACUUCUCCUCCAGGGUCAUGGUGUCAGCCUUAGCAAUGACAGGGAUGAUGUUCACAACCUUGCUGAGGUGUUUCAUGAACUCAAGAUCCAGAGGUCGCAAGCUGGGGCACAGAAAAGGCAGAAUCAUCAGAGCCACCUUGCCCUCCCCAACUCAGCCACCACCACCACUCCAGGACACCCACAGGAGAAGAGGACUGGGCUGGGCAUCUGGCUGAGGCCAAGAGGCUGCUACCUCUCGUCUCCGACACAGCCCCACUGCCUUGCCGUCUGUAGAGCAGCCUCAACACCUGCCUUUUUCUUUUUCAGUCCCCUUGCAGAUUCUGCCUCUCUUUAAGCCCCCCUCAAACCACCACUUCAG
rnacentral:lncRNA from 1 species